AUUCAAGUAGCUUAUAUUAGAGCGUGAUACUGAAGAUAUUAAGGAGAUUUAUAAUUCUUGGAUA
rnacentral:tRNA from 1 species